UACGUAGGGUGCAAGCGUUAAUCGGAAUUACUGGGCGUAAAGCGUGCGCAGGCGGUUUUGUAAGCCAGAUGUGAAAUCCCCGGGCUUAACCUGGGAAUGGCAUUUGGGACUGCAAGGCUGGAGUUUGGCAGAGGAGACUGGAAUUCCCGGUGUAGCAGUGAAAUGCGUAGAUAUCGGGAGGAAUACCGAUGGCGAAGGCAGGUCUCUGGGCUAUAACUGACACUGAGAAGCGAAAGCAUGGGGAGCGAACAGG
rnacentral:rRNA from 1 species